GACGAACGCUGGCGGCGUGCUUAACACAUGCAAGUCGAACGGUGAAAGCGGAGCUUGCUCCGCUGGAUCAGUGGCGAACGGGUGAGUAACACGUGGGCAACCUGCCCCUGACUUCGGGAUAACUCCUCGAAAGAGGUGCUAAUACCGGAUACGAAUCCUGCAGGCAUCUGCGGGAUUGGAAAGUUUUUCGGUCAGGGAUGGGCCCGCGGCCUAUCAGCUUGUUGGUGAGGUAGUGGCUCAACAAGGCGACGACGGGUGGCCGGCCUGAGAGGGCAACCGGCGACACUGGGACUGGGACACGGCCCAGACUCCUACGGGAGGCAGCAGGAGGGAAUAUUGCGCAAUGGGCGAAAGCCUGACGCAGCAACGCCGCGUGAGGGAUGACGGCCUUCGGGUUGUAAACCUCUUUCAGCAGGGAAGAAGCGAAAGUGACGGUACCUGCAGAAAAAGCACCGGCUAACUACGUGCCAGCCGCCGCGGUAAGAC
rnacentral:rRNA from 1 species